GGGUCAGUAGGUUGGUCGUGCCACCGGUACGUACUGGUCUCACUGAUUCCUCCUUCCCGAAGAACCGUAAUGCCAUUAAUUUGGUGUUGCGGGGAAACAGGACUGUUACUUUGAAAAAAUUAGAGUGUUUAAAGCAAGCUAACGCUUGAAUACAUUAGCAUGGAAUAAUGAAAUAGGACGAUCGAUCCUAUUUUGUUGGUUUCUAGGAUUGACGUA
rnacentral:rRNA from 1 species